GGGGUUGUAGUCUAGCCUGGUAGGAUUCACCCUUGGGGUGGGUGCGACGGGAGUUCAAAUCUUCCCAACCCCA
rnacentral:tRNA from 1 species